GAUGAAGAACGUAGCGAAAUGCGAUAAGUAAUGUGAAUUGCAGAAUUCAGUGAAUCAUCGAAUCUUUGAACGCACAUUGCGCCCGUCAGUAUUCUGGCGGGCAUGCCUGUUCGAGCGUCAUUACGCCCCUCAAGUCCCCUGUGGACUUGGUGUUGGGGAUCGGCGAGGCUGGUUUUCCAGCACAGCCGUCCCUUAAAUUAAUUGGCGGUCUCGCCGUGGCCCUCCUCUGCGCAGUAGUAAAACACUCGCAACAGGAGCCAGGCGCGGUCCACUGCCGUAAAACCCCCCAACUUUUUAUAGUUGACCUCGAAUCAGGUAGGACUACCCGCUGAACUUAAGCAUAUCAAUAAGCGGAGGA
rnacentral:misc_RNA from 1 species